GAUGAACGCUGGCGGCGUGCCUAAUACAUGCAAGUCGAGCGAACGGACGAGAAGCUUGCUUCUCUGAUGUUAGCGGCGGACGGGUGAGUAACACGUGGAUAACCUACCUAUAAGACUGGGAUAACUUCGGGAAACCGGAGCUAAUACCGGAUAAUAUUUUGAACCGCAUGGUUCAAAAGUGAAAGACGGUCUUGCUGUCACUUAUAGAUGGAUCCGCGCUGCAUUAGCUAGUUGGUAAGGUAACGGCUUACCAAGGCAACGAUGCAUAGCCGACCUGAGAGGGUGAUCGGCCACACUGGAACUGAGACACGGUCCAGACUCCUACGGGAGGCAGCAGUAGGGAAUCUUCCGCAAUGGGCGAAAGCCUGACGGAGCAACGCCGCGUGAGUGAUGAAGGUCUUCGGAUCGUAAAACUCUGUUAUUAGGGAAGAACAUAUGUGUAAGUAACUGUGCACAUCUUGACGUUACCUAAUCAGAAAGCCCCGGCUAACUACGUG
rnacentral:rRNA from 1 species